UAGUGUUAUAGUUCUAGAAUAUAAUUUUUUACACGUGGUGAUUGAACUUUAUGUGAUAAUUGUAGUGCAUCGUGAGUGUAAUUUCAAAAAAACUUCUACGGACAUAUUUUAUAUUGUGAGUGACUUUAAUCAGAAGGAAGAAAAUAUGGUUUUCGAGUUACUGUCAUCCUAGAUUGACAGUACAAGAGAAGUUGCAGAAGAUGGAACGAAAAACCGAACGACUCCACCCCGACCAUCAAUGCUCAGCAGGAUAGUGAUCAUUUCAACUUGUACAUCAACAGGCC